rnacentral:lncRNA from 1 species
UUUAGUUAGCUUCAGGAAAUCAGUUAGCAACAGAUUUAACUCAAUCUCUUUCAAUGUAUGCAACUAUAAAUACUUGUACAAGUCAUUGUAAAUACAUGAAUAGAUACAUGUUGUUUGUCUACAUUCAAUCUUCUUCAAUCAUUUCUUCUCUUCCAUAAUCUGUGGUUAUUUUCUCGAAACCUCUCCGAUAGGAUCCUGAAAUAGCCUUUGAAUCCUCGAGUUGUAAUUAACUCCUGCAAUUCAGCUAUUAGAGCCAUACGAUUCCUUGGCAUCAAUGGCGAAAGGGACAAGAGCAAGUGGAGACCCAAUCAAUGAACCUUCAACUUCAGAAGUAGGGGAUUUGCGUGAUAUGAUGCAGAAUUUGAUAACAGAGGUUGGAGCUUUAGCAGGUAAAAUUUCUUCUCUGGAAAAGUUAGAUCAAACAGUGAUUGAGUUGCAGAACCAAUUUGCAGCAUCUGGGGAGAAUCGAAGGGACAAGACACCAUUGGAAACUGAGGAGGGACCUACCGGAAAAGUUCAGUCAGAAGAAAGAAUCCACAGAAACAGGGGACGAAGCCCUAACAGUGGUAAUAGUUACCAUUCUAACCAGUCGAAUUUCACUCGAUGGUCAAGAAUGGAAUUCUUGAGGUUUAAUGGGGAGGAUCUUAGAUCAUGGUUGUUCAAAAUUGAACAAUUCUUUUCUAUGGAGAAUGUUCUUGCUGAAGAAAAAAUUGGGGUGGCUGCUCUGCAAUUGGAGGGGGAAGCCAUUCAGUGGCAUCUAUCGUUCAUGAGAUACAGGCAGUAUCUGCAGCCGGCCACUUGGAAUGAUUAUGUGAUGGCAUUAGUAGAAAGGUUUGGUACUGACUUUGAUGAUCCCAUGGAGGAAAUCAAAAAAGUGAAACAGGUGGGCAGUGUGAAGGAUUAUCAAGCGAUCUUUGAGAAGAAUUUGACUAGGGUGAACUUAUCUCAGGAGAAUGCGAUCAGUUGUUUUUGGGAGGAUUGAAACCAGAGCUGAAUAUUGCUGUCAAAAUCACAAACCCUACAACAUUAUCUCAAGUUUAUAAAAGUGCUAGGAUGCAAGAAGUAUUCCUUUCUGCUAUUAAGCAACCUCAUUCUUCAUUAUAUUCAAACUACAAUGGAAAUUCAACAAGAAGGGGAGUAGAUCAGAGGGUUCCGAAUAAGCCACUCUUACCAACUCCUGGUAGAGGGGGAGCACCAAUACAUAAAGGGUUUCAAAGAAGAUAGUUAAGCCCAGAGGAAAUGAAUGAGAAAAGAGCAAAAGGCCUUUGCUUCUUUUGUGAUGAAAAAUAUGUUAUGGGUCACAAGUGUAGAAACUUGAAGCAGCUUUACAUUCUGGAAUUAGAAGAAACAGAUGGAGAGAAAUAUUGUGAGGAAGAAGAGCAAAAUGAGGAGGUGAAUCAAGAAUUGGAGAUGCAACAAGGCAUUGAACAGAUGGAGAUAUCCAUCCAUGCUUUGAAUGGUUCAUUAGGGUAUAGGACCUUGAGGGUCACUGGAUAUCACUCCAAACAGCCAUUACACAUUUUGGUGGACACUGGGAGUUCCCACAACUUCAUUGAUCCAUCAUUGGUUGAACAAUUAGGGUGUCAAGUCACACAAACUAUGCCUCAGUUAGUUGCUGCAGCCAAUGGUACUAUGAAGGUGGAUAAGUCGUGCAAAUUUUCUUGGUUGUUACAAGGAGCAGAGUUUGCAGCCGAAUUUUUGUUACUUCCAUUGGGAAAUUGUGGGGUGGUACUAGGAGUUCAAUGGCUACUGACUCUAGGUGAUAUCAAGAUGAAUUUCAGCAAACUCACUAUGGAGUUUUGGUAUAAUGGCAGAAAACACUUACUAAGGGGUGCAGGCAAACAAAUUACGUGUGUUGGAGCUGGAAAACUUGGGAAGUUAACAGGUAAUCAAUCUACAAUUAUGUAUGAUACAAGUACUUCUCACAUGAGUGCUGAACUACUUGCGUUAGAAACUAAAGACAACAUUGACAAGGAUCCUAGAAUAGUGAGUCUAUUGAAAGAUUAUAGAGAAUUAUUUGCUGAACCUACAGGAUUACCACCAUCUAGGGGGAUUUAUGAUCAUAAGAUUGUGUUACAAUCGGGAACAGAACCUGUUAAUAAAAGACCCUAUAGAUAUCCUUCUGUUAAAAAGGACAUCAUUGAAGAACUUGUGCAACAAAUGUUAGAUCAGGGGAUUGUUUAGCCUAGUAGUUGUCCAUUUGCCUCACCUUUGGUGUUGGUUGGCAAGAAGGAUGGCUCAUGGAGGCUAUGUGUAGAUUAUAGUGAUCUUAACAAGCACACUGUUAAGAACAAAUUCCCUAUACCUUUGGUAGAAGAUCUUUUGGAUGAACUUGGGGGUUCAGUAAUCUUCUCCAAAAUAGAUCUUAGGGCUGGGUACCAUCAGUUGAGGAUGGCCAAAAAAGACAUACCAAAAACAGCAUUUCGAACUCACUCGGGGCACUUUGAGUAUUUGGUAAUGCCAUUUGGAUUAUCUAAUGCACCAGCAACAUUUCAAGGGUUGAUGAACACUGUGUUUCGAAAGUUUUUGAGAAAGUCUGUCCUAGUUUUUUUUGAUGAUAUUCUGAUCUAUAGUCAGUCUAUUGAAGAUCAUCUGUUGCACCUGAGAAACGUGUUUGCUGCAAUGAAGGAUCAUCACUUACUAGCCAAGGAAAGCAAAUGUUUCUUUGGAGUGGAUCGAAUUGAAUAUCUGGGCCAUUUCAUUACCAGGGAAGGAGUAUCCACUGAUCCUGCAAAAAUACUUGCUGUUCAAAAUUGGCCAGUACCAACUACUAUCAAGCAAUUAAGAGGCUUCAUUGGAUUGGCGGGUUAUUACAGGAGAUUCAUACAAGGGUUUGGCAUCAUCAGUAAACCACUAACUGAUCUUUUGAAGAAGGAUAGUUUCAAAUGGUCACCAGCUGCUACUGAAGCGUUCGAACAACUGAAGGAAGCUUUAACUAGGACUCCUGUCCUCGCCUUACCUGAUGCAAACAAAACAUUUGUGGUUGAAACAGAUGCUAGUGGGUAUGGCAUUGGAGCGGUGUUGAUGCAACAAGGUCAUCCUAUUGCCUUUAUCAGCAAGACUCUUUCGCCAAGACAUGCAGCCAUGUCUGUCUAUGAUAGGGAAUUACUAGCUAUUGUACAUGCCGUUUCUAAAUGGUCUCAGUAUUUGCUUGGGCAAAGGUUCAUUAUCAGAACUGAUCAGAGAGCUCUGAAGUUCUUAAUGGAACAAAAAUUGCACACCAAUUCCCAACUUAUGUGGUUGACCAAGUUAAUGCCUUUUGAUUAUACCAUUGAGUACAAGGCAGGGAUUGAAAAUAAGGCUGCUGAUGCACUUUCAAGGGUUUCUGGUGCAGAACUCCUGGCUUUGAUUAUUUCCAAUAAUGACUCUGAAUUGUUGCAAGCUAUUGAAUAUAGUUGGACAGUAGAUAUUGAACUAAAAGGACUGAUUGAGAGGUUGCAAGCUGACCCACAUACUCAUUCACAGUUCACUUGGUAUCAAAACAAAUUGAGGAGGAAAGGCAGAUUAGUUGUUGGCAAGGUGGGACAACUAAGGCAAGAUAUCAUCACUUUGUGGCAUGCUACACCCCAAGGGGGCCAUUCCGGGAUUGAGGCUACAUUGAAGAGGUUACUUACACUCUUCUAUUGGAAGGGAAUGCGACAGGAUGUUAAAGUGUUUGUGCAAAAGUGUGAUGUGUGCCAGAGAAGUAAAGCUGAUCUAGCAGCUUCUCCUGGUCUUUUACAACCCUUACCAAUCCCUGAGGUAGUGUGGUCUCAAAUCAGCAUGGAUUUCAUUGAUGGUUUACCAAAAUCCCAUGGCUAUGAAGUCAUACUAGUGGUAGUUGACAGGCUUAGCAAGUAUGGCCAUUUUAUUCCUCUUAAACAUCCCUAUACAGCUCAGUCGGUAGCUAAGGUUUUCAUGGAUGUCAUAGUCAGACUUCAUGGUCUACCCGAUAAUAUCACUAGUGACAGGGAUGCUGUGUUUCUCAGUACAUUCUGGCAGGAAUUAUUUUCAUUACAAGGUGUUCAGUUGAAUCUAUCUUCAGCAUAUCAUCCGCAGAGUGAUGGUCAAACUGAAGUUCUUAAUAGGUGCUUGGAGACCUAUCUGAGAUGUUUUUGUGCGGAAGAUGCUAAAGGGUGGUAUGACUGCCUACCGAUGGCAGAGUUUUGGUACAAUACUUGCCAUCACUCUGCUAUUGAGUUAACUCCUUAUGAAGCACUUUAUGGCAGACCUCCUCCAUUGCAUUUACCUUACCUGCCAGGGGAGUCCUCAUCUGCUGAGGUGGAUAAUACCCUCAUCAAUAGAGAACUGAAACUACAAUUGUUGAGGCAUCAUUUGAUACGCGCUCAGUUGAGGAUGAAACAACAAGCUGAUAAACAUAGAAGUGACAGAAGUUUUGCAGUUGGUGAUUGGGUAUACUUCAAGGUCAGGCCUUACAGACAAGUGACUAUAUCCGAGACUCCUCAUCACAAGCUCGCUGCUAAAUACUAUGGCCCAUUCCAGAUUAUUCGAAAGGUUGGUCCAGUAGCAUAUACUUUGCUCUUUCCAGAUUCUGUGAAGAUUCAUCCAACAGUACAUGUGUCCCUCUUAAAGAAGUGUUAUGAAGUUCCUUCCCUGGUAACCUAUCCACCAACCACUGAUUUAGCAAAUCCCCAUUGUUCAGACCCUGAAGCUAUAUUGCAGCGAAGGAUGGUUAAGAAGGGUAAUAAGGCAGUGACGCAAGUCUUGGUUAAGUGGAAAGAUUUGUCGGCAGACGCUGCUACUUGGGAGUACUCGAACAUCCUUAAGACCAGAUUUCCAUCUUUUGAUCCUUGAGGACAAGGAUCUCUUUGCGGGGGGGAGUACUGUUAGUAGAUUUCCAGAUUAGAUGAGUCAGCAAAAGUAGUUAUACAUUUUAGCGGGAAAAACAGUUAAGAACAGUACACAGUCAGGAAUUUAGUUAGCUUCAGGAAAUCAGUUAGCAACAGAUUUAACUCAAUCUCUUUCAAUGUAUGCAACUAUAAAUACUUGUACAAGUCAUUGUAAAUACAUGAAUAGAUACAUGUUGUUUGUCUACAUUCAAUCUUCUUCAAUCAUUUCUUCUCUUCCAUAAUCUGUGGUUAUUUUCUCGAAACCUCUCCGAUAGGAUCCUGAAAUAGCCUUUGAAUCCUCGAGUUGUAAUUAACUCCUGCAAUUCAGCUAUCAAGUC